UACGUAGGGGGCAAGCGUUGUCCGGAUUUAUUGGGCGUAAAGAGCGUGUAGGCGGCCAGAUAGGUCUGUUGUGAAAACUCGAGGCUCAACCUCGAGACGCCGAUGGAAACCAUCUGGCUAGAGUCCGGAAGAGGAGAGUGGAAUUCCUGGUGUAGCGGUGAAAUGCGCAGAUAUCAGGAAGAACACCCGUGGCUAAGGCGGCUCUCUAGUACGGUACUGACGCUGAGACGCGAAAGCGUGGGUAGCAAACGGG
rnacentral:rRNA from 1 species